UCCUGAACGCCAUCAGCCCCCGCACCUCC
rnacentral:piRNA from 1 species